rnacentral:tRNA from 1 species
GCCCUCAAUAGCUCAGUUGGGAGAGCGCCAGACUGAAGAUCUGGAGUUCCUCAGUUCGAUCUUGGCCCAGGAUCGAACUGAGGC